UACGGAGGGGGCUAGCGUUGUUCGGAAUUACUGGGCGUAAAGCGCACGUAGGCGGACCAUCAAGUUGGGGGUGAAAUCCCGGGGCUCAACCCCGGAACUGCCUUCAAAACUGUUGGUCUGGAGGUCGAGAGAGGUGAGUGGAAUUCCGAGUGUAGAGGUGAAAUGCGCAGAUAUCAGGAGGAACACCGAUGGCGAAGGCAGCUCGCUGGGACGGUACUGACGCUGAGGCGCGAAAGCGUGGGGAGCAAACAGG
rnacentral:rRNA from 1 species